GACGAACGCUGGCGGCGUGCUUAACACAUGCAAGUCGAACGAUGAAUCCGGAGCUUGCUCUGGGGGAUUAGUGGCGAACGGGUGAGUAACACGUGAGUAACCUGCCCUGGACUCUGGGAUAAGCGUUGGAAACGACGUCUAAUACCGGAUAGGACCUUGGAUCGCAUGAUCUGGGGUGGAAAGUUUUUUCGGUCUGGGAUGGACUCGCGGCCUAUCAGCUUGUUGGUGAGGUAAUGGCUCACCAAGGCGUCGACGGGUAGCCGGCCUGAGAGGGUGACCGGCCACACUGGGACUGAGACACGGCCCAGACUCCUACGGGAGGCAGCAGUGGGGAAUAUUGCACAAUGGGCGAAAGCCUGAUGCAGCAACGCCGCGUGCGGGAUGACGGCCUUCGGGUUGUAAACCGCUUUUAGUAGGGAAGAAGGGCUUCGGCUUGACGGUACCUGCAGAAAAAGGACCGGCUAACUACGUG
rnacentral:rRNA from 1 species